CCUACGGGAGGCAGCAGUGGGGAAUAUUGGACAAUGGGCGAAAGCCUGAUCCAGCAAUGCCGCGUGAGUGAUGAAGGCCUUAGGGUUGUAAAGCUCUUUUACCAGGGAUGAUAAUGACAGUACCUGGAGAAUAAGCUCCGGCUAACUCCGUGCCAGCAGCCGCGGUAAUACGGAGGGAGCUAGCGUUGUUCGGAAUUACUGGGCGUAAAGCGUACGUAGGCGGUUAUUCAAGUCAGAGGUGAAAGCCUGGAGCUCAACUCCAGAACUGCCUUUGAAACUAGAUAGCUAGAAUCUUGGAGAGGUGAGUGGAAUUCCGAGUGUAGAGGUGAAAUUCGUAGAUAUUCGGAAGAACACCAGUGGCGAAGGCGACUCACUGGACAAGUAUUGACGCUGAGGUACGAAAGCGUGGGGAGCAAACAGGAUUAGAUACCCUGGUAGUCCACGCCGUAAACGAUGAUAACUAGCUGUUCGGGCUCUACGAGCUUGAGUGGCGCNGCUAACGACAUUAAGUUAAGUUCCGUCCGUCGGGGAGGUACGGGUCGGCGAAGAAGUUAAAACUUAACUAAAUUAGAAGUUAGUUAGGCGUGAGACGUUGCCGAACGGACGACCGACCGAGGGGAGGUUAGG
rnacentral:rRNA from 1 species